CACUUCCGGAGGAAAACAAGGGAGCUUCCGGUGGCGGCGGGCUUGAGUGUGUGUGUGUGUGUACUUCUAAUCUGGGGAGGGAAGGCGCAAGGGGCUCGCACACGCUCUGUUGUGCGGAGGUUGGCUGGUGUCUCCAUAUGUGGGUCUCUACUCGGUUCGUUGCUCCCCAGGGCCCCACUAGUCAUGUUAUGGGGUGGCUCGAGCAAGGAUGCUUUUCAGCAUUCACAGCCAGAACUUAUGCUGGGGGGCGCGGGUCUUGCUUUUUGACAGGGCUUACUCCCAAGUAAGUGUGCGAAGGAAUUGUGCUAGUUUCUUAGCCCAAUUCUAUGCAUUUUUAGUCGAACCUUAAAUUAGAACAAAGGACUUUACUUUGGAAAUAAAGUAUUCUGCUUUUUAGGGAUAUAAAAUAUCUUUAUAGGGUUUUUUUUAACCUUGGGUAGGGUUUAUAAUGAUUAUCAGUAAUAAAGUGGUGGUUCUCUUUUGUUUAGCAGAGAGGGAGCAACUGUCCCUGUUAACCCCUGCUAAAUGAGCAAAGAGGCUCAGUUUUUUUAAAGUGCCGAUUCUCAUAUUUAGCGGGCGGGAGAGUAACUGGCGCUAUCCAACCCCAGAACAGCAUCCCUCCAGUGGCUGUUGCUGGUAUCUACCUUCUGUUUCUUUUUAGAUUGUGAGCCCUUUGGGGACAGGGAUCCAUCUUAUUUAUUUAUUAUUUUUCUGUGCAAACCACUUUGGAAACUUUUGUUGAAAAGCGGUAUAGAAAUAUUUGUUGUUGUUGUUGUAAAGCAGCAAAGCUUCCUGUGGCACAUUAAAGACUUAAAAGGGGGGGGGCUUUUUGUGUGGCAUGUUAGCCUUUAAGGUGCCACAGAACUUAUUGUUGGUCUUGCUGCAAUAGACUAGCACAGAUGCUCCUCUGGAAUGUCACUAUACAUUUUUAUUAUUUAUUUUUCAUAUUUUGUAGGCUGCUUUUGUAUUGAAACAAUACACUUAUUUACUGUGCUGAUAUUCUCCAAAGCAGACAAAAAUUGUUGGUUCUGUGUAAAAGUAGAACUAAAUGGUUCCUAAAGGAAGUUGACCUUAAGAAUAUAUGAUUCCUCCUGGAUCAGACCAAGUGUUCAUCUACUCCAAAAUCCUACUUCUCUCACAGAGCUAAUAGAUAGAUAUGAACACAUCUUUAUCACCUUUAUGAACACAUCUUUAUCUCAAGGGAGAAUUGUAGAAUUAGAUCUUUUGUGCAUGCAGCUAAUUUAAGUGGCAGGACUGUCCAUGCAAAAUGUGGCAUGUGCAGGUCAUUGGAAGAAUCUUACAUUGCCUAAUACAGAGAAAAAAAACUGGUUUCUAAAACAGAAUACACUUUUAAAAUAUAAUAUCAAGCUGUUUGGACCUCACUGAAUGACAUGAAACUCCCAGACCAACCCAUAAAAGCUAGGAACAUGCUGUUUUCUCAGUGUUGUCCAAAAAGUACCGGUUACAAUUGAAUAAAUCUACAAGAAGAUGAUCUGUACUGUUCCAGAUCCAGCAUAAUCUGCUCAUCUCUGAAGGCUUAGCCCCUUAUCUUUUUGCCCUCAGAUCUCAUUAUACUCCUGCCCAUGACCUUUGCUUUUCUAGUUCCAACACCCUCAGUCUUCUAGGUCUCCUGGCCACUCAAACAACUUUGCCCUUUCUUCCUUGCUGCUCCUUAUGCUUGGAACAGCCUCCUGAAAAAACCUAUGCAAUGCUUCCUCUUUCUUACUUCAAAUCCCUUUUUAAAACCCAUCUUCUCCAUUAAGCCUUUGGCAAACCCCUUUGUUGCUAUACUCUAUUGUAACUAAGCCCAAAGACACAUACCUGAAAUAAUUGCAUCUUCUUCGCCAGUACAGUAAUACCACCACCAUAACAGAUGUGAGGAUUUCUGGGUUGUCUUGUCCAUGUGUGUUGCAGUUGACACAGGGUAAUAUGUUUCUGAAACAAGUAUAGGGGCCAGGAGCAUCUGCAGGACUUUUUCCAGGGGAGGGGGUGGGCAAAGCCAGCAAUCCAAUACCCUGCUCCCUGGAGUAUGGCCCAUUUAAUUCAAUGGGAACUGGUUCAAUCCAUGGGGAGGGACAACUGCCCCUUCUUGCCCUCUCUGAAUGCCCAUGAGAAAGGUCAAUGUUUAAUUUUCUGAGACCGCUAGGUAAAGCAGUGGUCUUCAUUAUUUUUCAAAUGGGGUUUGCUUUGGCAAAAAAUAAGUGUGAAAGCCAUUCCCCACUAUUCUGACUUCUGCACAGCACUACUCUUUUCUCAGUCUGGGAGGGCCUUUAAAGUCCUCUUUUAAGAGUUCUGUGGGGAAAAUGCUGGAAAGGGCUACACUUUCUGAACGCCUCUCUGAAUGCCUUCCAGCACUCUCUGAACACCUUCAAGAUAGUGCAGAGGCUCAAGUGGGCUCAGUUUUUCAUAAAGAAGCCCCCCACCUCAGCAAAGCGCUGCACUGCACAUAGUGAUAAUGGUGGUCUCUGCAUGGUGCCAGGCGGACUGUAUAGAGAAUUCAGUCUCAACCAAUGCUUCACAUAGGUCCAAUAAAACAUUGGUCAGAGGGCCACAGUUUGCGUUGGUGGGGCUGCCACCAGCCCCUGGUCAUACAGUGAAGAACACUGAGUUAAAGGAUAACAGCAGGGCUAAAUAAGGCUUUCUACCUGAGAGCUGAGGUCAAGACUCACUUUCUGUGGUUUUUGAGCAUAUUAGACUCAGAGGAGCACCUAGGUAAUUUUGGAGCCUGGACCUAAAGGCCUUUGGAGGCCCCCGUCCUCAGCAAAUUAAGCAUCAUGGUGCUUCACCAGGAGACCACACUAUGUGGGGCAGGCUAAAGAGGAUUUGGGGGCCCACCAGGGGCUGUGGAGGCCCUGGACUUUGGCCUCGAAGUCCAGGGGCAACAGCGCUUUUUACUAGACUGGAUGGAUAAUUAGUCUAAUAACUCAAUAUGGCAGCUCCCCAUGAUCUUCCCGAUCAGCAUUCUUUCUCUAAGGGAAAAACCUGACCAGUACAAAAUUGCAUAAAAUAUUUUCUUGGUUUUGAUUGUUUUUAAUGUUGUUUUAGAAUAUUGUUUUAACAAUUUUGAAUUGUUGUGUUUUAAAUUUCUUGUUUUUGUUUUUAACUAAUGUUUUAAUGUUGUUUUUAUCUUGUAAACUGCCCAGAGACAUAAGUUUUGGGUGGUAUAAAAAUGUGUGAAAUAAAUAAAUAAA